AGCGAACGCUGGCGGCAGGCUUAACACAUGCAAGUCGAACGCCCCGCAAGGGGAGUGGCAGACGGGAGAGUAACAUGUGGGAACGUACCCUUUGGUUCGGAAUAACUUGGGGAAACUCAAGCUAAUACCGGAUAAGCCCUUAUGGGGAAAGGUUUACUGCCGAAGGAUCGGCCCGCGUCUGAUUAGCUAGUUGGUGAGGUAAUGGCUCACCAAGGCGACGAUCAGUAGCUGGUCUGAGAGGAUGAUCAGCCACACUGGGACUGAGACACGGCCCAGACUCCUACGGGAGGCAGCAGUGGGGAAUAUUGGACAAUGGGGGCAACCCUGAUCCAGCCAUGCCGCGUGAGUGAUGAAGGCCUUAGGGUUGUAAAGCUCUUUUACCCGGGACGAUAAUGACUGUACCGGGAGAAUAAGCCCCGGCUAACUUCGUGCCAGCCGCCGCGGUAA
rnacentral:rRNA from 1 species